rnacentral:rRNA from 1 species
UUGAACGCUGGCGGCAUGCUUUACCCAUGCAAGUCGAACGGUAACAGGCCUUCGGGUGCUGACGAGUGGCGAACGGGUGAGUAAUGCAUCGGAACGUGCCCAGAGGUGGGGGAUAACGCAGCGAAAGCUGUGCUAAUACCGCAUGUGAUCUGAGGAUGAAAGCGGGGGACCAGGCAGCAAUGUUUGGCCUCGCGCCUUUGGAGCGGCCGAUGUCAGAUUAGGUAGUUGGUGGGGUAAAGGCCUACCAAGCCGACGAUCUGUAGCUGGUCUGAGAGGACGACCAGCCACACUGGGACUGAGACACGGCCCAGACUCCUACGGGAGGCAGCAGUGGGGAAUGUUGGACAAUGGGCGCAAGCCUGAUCCAGCAAUGCCGCGUGCGGGAAGAAGGCCUUCGGGUUGUAAACCGCUUUUGUACGGAACGAAAAGGCUCUGGCUAAUACCUGGGGCUGAUGACGGUACCGUAAGAAUAAGCACCGGCUAACUACGUG